rnacentral:rRNA from 1 species
UACGUAGGGUGCGAGCGUUUGUCCGGAAUUACUGGGCGUAAAGAGCUCGUAGGUGGUUUGUCGCGUUGUUCGUGAAAACUCACAGCUCAACUGUGGGCGUGCGGGCGAUACGGGCAGACUGGAGUACUGCAGGGGAGACUGGAAUUCCUGGUGUAGCGGUGGAAUGCGCAGAUAUCAGGAGGAACACCGGUGGCGAAGGCGGGGUCUCUGGGCAGUAACUGACGCUGAGGAGCGAAAGCAUGGGGAGCGAACAGG